rnacentral:rRNA from 1 species
AUUGAACGCUGGCGGCAGGCCUAACACAUGCAAGUCGAACGAGUGGCGGACGGGUGAGUAAUGUCUGGGAAACUGCCUGAUGGAGGGGGAUAACUACUGGAAACGGUAGCUAAUACCGCAUACCAUCGGAUGUGCCCAGAUGGGAUUAGCUAGUAGGUGGGGUAAAGGCACACCUAGGCGACGAUCCAUAGCGGGUAUGAGAGGAUGACCGGCCACACUGAAACUUGGACACGGUCCAGACUCCUACGGGAGGAAGCAGUGGGGAAUAGUGGACAAUGGGCGCAAGCCGGAUGCAGCCAUGCCGCGUGUAUGAAGAAGGCCUUCGGGUUGUAAAGUACUUUCAGCGGGGAGGCGUUACCCGCAGAAGAAGCACCGGCUAACUCCGUGCCAGCAGCCGCGGUAAUAC